CGGUACGACAUGAAUUCCUAGGUUCUUCGAGCAUCGAUCGAUGCGAUUUCAUCGGUUUACGAUUCCGCGGCCGCAUAAAAGACGGAUUAACACGGCACCGCUGCUGAUUGACAAUCUUACCGAUGAUUUAGCGCUGGAUACAACGAGAUUCUACGGACAACGUUGCCCGACAUUACACGUGACUUUACGAAUGGCUACGUUUCCAGCUAUGCGGCAUGUUUCGUAUUUAUUAUACGUUUUUAAGACAACAAAAGUAUUUGCACAAGCUUUAUUUUUUGGACGAUCGAAAAUGUUAACUAAGACAAUUUAACUAAGGAGAGCUGUAUUACGCUGAUAACGUGCGUCGAGACUUGAAUUUGGUUACACCAUCGAUCGAAUGAAACGUCCAAACGACGAUCCUCUUCAAUUUUACGGCGAGACGCUCGUUAUGAUCAAAGUUCGCGAGCUCGAUUUCCUUGCGCAAAUGUUUUAACAAGUGCAGAAAAGAAUUGGAGACGACUGACAGAAGUUGCAGCCUUGAUGGAAAUAAUGAAGUUCCCGGAGUCUUUAGAGCAGAAAAUGGAGGCGGAAAAAGUUCGAUACCGUUGGGAUAAUUUCUGGUAGAAGUUCGUCGGACGACAUCGAGAAGUUUGGUAUCCUCGACAGGCGGUUAAAUUAAGCAUCGCACAAAGGACCCGAUGAAAAGUUCUUUCUACAAAGUGCGUAAUAAAAAGUUUCACGUAAAGUUCUUCCGAUAAUAUUCAACGAAAGUUUCGCCGGGUACACGGCCGAGCGACUAGUAACGAAAUAAUGCCGCACGAAAAGAAGAGGAAAACCGAGUCCCCGACCAAACGGGAUCGUGGAUUGGAUGAUUCUAUGUAGCCGGGAUGGAAUUUGGCGAUUCGCCAAUAAUGUGCAUCGAGUUGCCAGGUUACACGGCAAUUUUCACCCACCUUGACGACGUUCAUCGAGGUUAGUCGUCCUUCUUCAUGCGACUGCAAGAACCAUGAAGCUAGGAACUGGCUCCGACUGAACAGACUCCUGGGCGACGUUAACUUCGUGGUCCCUUCUGAUUUAAGACAAAUUAAAUAACGACGAACAACGCCCAAAGUUCUCUAAUGGAGGCCACAGGGAAUCUAUGGACUUUCGUGUCCAGGAAAUUCGAUAUUUAGUAGAACAGUUUCCGCAGACUUUAACGUUGCCGGAAAGUCGUCGCGUCGUUUAAUAAACGUUCAAUUAAUGCUACAUUGUUUUCACCCUUUUGCUGGAAAUUACCUUAUGAAACUGCUGAUGCAAGUUACACCGAUAGUGUUAUGAACGACAUAGAAUUCAUCGCAACAAGAUAUUGAUUAACCGGUCAAGGUUCGUUUAUGCUUAUCGACGAACCGAGCACGGGCCGAGUUAAUUGAUAGCGUUUUGUUAUUAUUUCGGAGCAUGCAAAAUCUAUAUCGGUAUAACGAAAUUAAAAUAAAAUAAUCUAUUUUUGCAUUGUAUU